ACGCAUGAGCGACGCCCGAGAGCCCCAGUAGCAAGCUACUGUUAUGGACUCUCCCCCUCAAAAAAUUAAUUUAAUAUCGUGUGGACCUAUGGCCCACGUAUCAGAUAUUAAACUGAUAAGAACAGAUACUACACUUGAUCUUAGCCAAAAGGCCGAGAAAGGUAUGAUUUGUCUAGCAUUCAGCUUUCGUUUAUAUACACGACUCGUCUCACUUACAUGGUCUCUUUAGCGAUGUGGGACUAUCGAAACGCAUUAACAUGGCUUGUAACUUGUAAGAAAAACCAAGAACCAGCAGUUUUUCUCACUUGCAAAUUGCACAAAUAAAAAGAGAAUUUCUCUCUUUUGGAUGCCUUCCAGUGUCGAGCAAUAGAUUAAGAAGCAGAAUCACUGGUUUUUGGCUAGAAGGUGGCGAUCUUGCUGUCAAGAUCAAGGCCAUGUUGGUCAUGUAUGGGCUAAAGCUGUUAAACGACUGUCUUUUUUAAGCUAAUAAAGCUGCUAUAGGAAACAGUGGAGGUAAAUUUAAGAGGCUCCCAAUUGGGGUCCAGUAAACAAAUUUGCGGCAGAGGCAUAUUUGUUGGUGGGUUAUCUCAAGAAGGCAAGUAAAACGUUUGAAUUGCGAUUGUCAUGCUCAUAUCAUCAAGAGAAGAUGAUCAUCUGACUGUCCAGUCUUCCUUGCCAAAAUGUUUGAAAGUGGCUGCGCUAUAACUAAAUAGAAUUGCAUUUACUUGGAGCAAGGAGCAUAUGUCUGCUGAGUGCUAGUUUUAUCAAAGAAGAGGAUAGAUCCCGAAGGGAAGAUUGCCUUGGAGCCACUGGAAAAUCAUGAGAAAAGCCAGAGAGGUAGUGGAAGUUUUGAGUAAGAUACUGAACGAUGCCUUGCUGCUUGUAGCACAUCAUUUUUGUUCUUGAUUUUGUUUUCAUUUAUUUUUUGUCCUGUUUUAUUUUUAUUGCUUGCCAUAUAUGCGAGAACAAUCUUCAAUUGCUUUAGUGUUCUUUUAGCUAUGAUGGUAGAUGGCUGGUGCCAGGGACUCAGGUUUGGGAACUCGAAGGUCAGCUAAUGAGGGCAGAGGUGUACCUGUCCAUUGCAACAAUGAAAUGCAAUCGGGGCAGAGAUGGUUAUAUUAAAGAAUUAUCAUUUUACGUAAAUACGCAGCUAAUUAGAAUUCCGAACUGUCAAAAUCGUCAAUUUUUUCCUAAACGCUCAUUUCAGCUUGUUACAUUAUUUAAAAAUUCUAACACAACUUUCAGUCAUGCAGGGAAACCAAAAUUAGAUCAGGGAGUGUACCUCUACUCCAAGCUGUUGAGUUUGUGGAAGCUCCAGGAUCUUUGUUAUUCCACAUGCUUACAUGGUCAUUGUGCAAUCAUUCCUGGAAAACGCACAUGCUUUCACCACUCAAGUGCCAUGACCAUCGUAGAGAGAGAUUUUACACAGAGAUGCAGAGAGUUAUUCUUAGAGAGUUUUUUAGACUCAAGUUCUGAUCCAUGUACUGGCUAGUUGGUUUUCCUUUUGAAAACUAGCUAGCAAGUUCAUGGAUCGGAACUCUCAGUCUGAAAAAACUGAUGAGCUGGUUUUUUAUUGGCAAAGUUCCCGUUGAUUUAGAGGACAUAAUCCUGCAUUAUGCAGUACAUGAUCAUGAUAUUACCUUUUCCCUCUGUUAUGCAUUGACAGUCAUCAGUUUGCACAUGUAUUAGAGUCCUUCUUGCUAGUGGAUUCUAUAUUUACAUGUAUGACAAAUGCAAUGUUUUUCCUCGAAUUCGCUUCAGAUUGGAAAGCAGAAGUUAGGGCAUCGUGGGAGUAUGUAUGCAUGCUCAUUAUGCCCCUACUGAUGCCUGCAUAUAAUUGGUAGAAAACUGCAUGCAGGCAAUGUAUGGGCAAAUUUACCUUGGAUUUUAUGUCCCUGAUGACCUGAGGUAAAAACAGUAACAAGGACCGAAGUCUUUCGCAAGUUGUUCUCACGGGGAUGGAUUCAUGUAACAUUACUUUUCAGAGAUACACAUGUGCCACGUAAUGGAUUGAUGUGCCUUCUCUUUGGCUUGCUUUCUAUAUAAUGAACUUGAAUUUCAAGCAUAACCAAAAAAUAUUUUAUAUCAGAACUAAAUUAAAUAUGAAGCAAUUCUAUUAUUUGUUUAUCGUCCUCUCUGUGCUGUACAUUUUAUAUUGUAGGGUUGAUGGUUGUGAUCCUGAUUAUGGUGGCUGUCGAUGAAGCAAUGAUGCGAGUGGUUGCAAUCGUGAUGAUAAUGGUGGGGACUUUGAUGGACAAGAUCAAUGUGGUGGUGGCCAAAUGGGAAUUAGGUGGAGGAGGGUAGGGUGGAUUUGGCAGUGGUUUUGGUAUGUGGCAGUUAUGGAGGAAGAGGAGAUGCUGGUGGCGGUGGAGUUGGAAGUGGCAGUGUAGGUGAAUGUGAUCAUGGUCAACGGUGCUCCUAGCUAGGAUGUCAAAUGUGUGUUGGAUGCAGAGCCAGCUUGGUUUAAUUUUUUAAUGCUCGCAUCAGUGCCUAUUCCAUGAUGUUUCCAUUUUGUAAUACACGCACAAACCCUUCAAUUUUGUGUGCAUCUAGCAGAACUGUCUUUCAUUAUCUUAGUUAAUGUCUUGUAAGUUUGUUUUCAGGUGGUAAGGUUGUUGCAUUAGCAGUCCAUCUCAAGGGUUGCGCAUGCAUAUCACUCUCAUACAUGCUAGCUACCUUAAUUCUCGUAAUGUUUAUCUUGUAGUAGAUGACAGUGUCUUGAAUAAAUACACAAUAAUUGUAUA